UAUUUUUGCUUGUCGUCUGAAAGUUCGGUUAGGACUAAAAUCGGCGAAUUUUGUGCAGAUUCGCCCGUUUGCGAACUCAUAAUUGACUCCAGAUCGUCGGCCGAAAUGGUGAUGAGGCGUUCGGCCGCCGAAAUGCGAGUCUGCCGACGCCGAGGAGGUGAUUUUUGUGCGGCGACCACUGCAACGACCGAAUCGGUGGGCGAAAGGGGCCUCAAUCGCCACCAGCCCUUUUCGGGGCCUCGGGCAAGUCGGGCACCCCCGCCUUCGACCAGUCCCAGCAACAGUCUGCCUUCUCAGGUUUUAUUCGUCCCCCGUUGCACCGCCAGCUUUGCCCAAUCUGACCUUCGGAGUCUGUGGGGCACCGAACCAACCCAGUCGUGGGCCUCUUCGGGGCCAACAUGAACCUCCUAGUGGGGAUGGACACGAUUGACACGAAUGCGGUCCAGCCCAUCUUGCAAAUCGAUCUCUACUAUAGCAGCGCACCUGCACGAACGAGUGCGAGAACAAGUCAGCCUGCAAGGGACCCCAGCAGAGGGCCUGGGUGCUAAGUCGUCCCUGUCCAAGGUGUGUCCUUUUGGCAACUCGUCCUGGGGCAAAACAAAUUCCUCUUCGGAGCCACUGCCGACAACAUCCAUAAAAAGAUCCCAUUUGUUUUAAAGUUAUAAAAUAGAAAUUGUA